GGUAUUUUAAAAUAUUUGGUAGUCACUUAAAAUGCAUAAUGACAGACAAUAGGGUGUCAUAAUAUGGUUUAUUAAUCUUUUUUCAUUUUCCACUAGAUGUGGCAACUACAUAGUUGGAAGAAAUGUGGCGGCCGGGGGCAGUGGCUCACGCCUGUAAUCCUAGCACUUUGGGAGGCUGAGGCAGGAGAGUCGCUUGAACCUGCGAGUCAGAGGUUGCAGUGAGCCAAGAUCGCUCCACUUCACUCCAGCCUGGUCAAAAGAGUGAGACUCUGUCUCAAAAAAA
ensembl:lncRNA novel transcript